AAGAUCUGGCAGGAUCUUGCAAGAUCUUGUCAUGAUCUUGGCAAGAUCUUACAAGAUGUUUGGUAAGAUCUUCCAGGAUCUUGGCAAGAUCAUGCAAGAUCCUGCAAGAUCUUGCAUAAGAUCCUGCAAGAACUUGGAAAGAUCUUGCAAGAUCAUGCAAGAUCUUUCCACGAUCUUGCAGGAUUUAUGUAAGAUCUUGGCAUGAUCUUGCUAAGAUCUUGGCUAAGAUCUUGGCAUGAUCUUGCUGGGAUCUU